CCCUUAGAUGUCCGGGGCCGCACGCGCGCUACACUGAAGGAAUCAGCGUGGCUUUCUCCCUGACCCGAAAGGGUUGGGAAACCCGUUGAACCUCCUUCGUGAUAGGGAUUGGGGCUUGAAAUUGUUCCCCAUGAACGAGGAAUUCCCAGUAAGCGCGAGUCAUAAGCUCGCGUUGAUUACGUCCCUGCCCUUUGUACACACCGCCCGUCGCUACUACCGAUUGAACGGUUUAGUGAGGGCCUCGGAUUGGUCUCGGCCCGCUCUUUACCGGGCGGCGCCGUUGGUCGAGAAGACGCUCGAACUUGAUCGUUUAGAGGAAGUAAAAGUCGUAACA
rnacentral:rRNA from 1 species